GAUGAACGCUGGCGGCGUGCCUAAUACAUGCAAGUCGAGCGAACGGACGAGAAGCUUGCUUCUCUGAUGUUAGCGGCGGACGGGUGAGUAACACGUGGAUAACCUACCUAUAAGACUGGGAUAACUUCGGGAAACCGGAGCUAAUACCGGAUAAUAUUUUGAACCGCAUGGUUCAAAAGUGAAAGACGGUCUUGCUGUCACUUAUAGAUGGAUCCGCGCUGCAUUAGCUAGUUGGUAAGGUAACGGCUUACCAAGGCAACGAUGCAUAGCCGACCUGAGAGGGUGAUCGGCGACACUGGGACUGAGACACGGUCCAGAGGCCUACGGGAGGCAGCAGUAGGGAAUCUUCCGCAAUGGGCGAAAGCCUGACGGAGCAACGCCGCGUGAGUGAUGAAGGUCUUCGGAUCGUAAAACUCUGUUAUUAGGGAAGAACAUAUGUGUAAGUAACUGUGCACAUCUUGACGGUACCUAAUCAGAAAGCCACGGCUAACUACGUG
rnacentral:rRNA from 1 species